UACAGAGGGGGCAAGCGUUGUUCGGAAUUACUGGGCGUAAAGGGCGCGUAGGCGGCCGCCUAAGUCAGACGUGAAAUCCCUCGGCUCAACCGGGGAACUGCGUCUGAUACUGGGUGGCUUGAAUCCGGGAGAGGGAUGCGGAAUUCCAGGUGUAGCGGUGGAAUGCGUAGAGAUCCGGAAGAACACCGGUGGCGAAGGCGGCCUGCUGGGCAGUUGCUGACACUGAUGCGCGACAGCGUGGGGAGCAAACAGG
rnacentral:rRNA from 1 species